GCCGCUUCGGCCCCCGAGCCUCCCUGAGCUCGCUGCCUGGGCGGUCUAGUUCCCCACCAAGAAGGCGCUUUGUGCAGGAGCCACUAGGCUCCCACCGGCGUCCUCCCCUUCCUAGAGACAGAGGACAUCUUGCCUCGCUAAGUCCCCCGGGUCCUUGGUGAGGAAGGCUGGGCCACAUGUGCCCGGGUACAGACACAUGGUGAGGGUGUACUGGGGGAUGUAGGGGUGCGGUACCGCGCCUUCAGAGUAUGUGCGUGGGUUGGAGAACAAAGCGUGCGUAAGUUGGGUCCCUGCCUGGGUCUAGAGGAAACUUCCUGCCCAGUGCAAGACGGACGCAGAGCUGGAGGAGUGGUGAGUCCGCCUGGCACGAAUUCACUGGGAUCAGGGAUUCCUCAUUCGAAGCUGGGACCUGUCCCGGGCCUGCUGCUCUCCUCUUCACCUUCAGUCUCCACCUGCGGCCUCACUGUGAUCUCAACCCGCCAAUACCCCAGGAGCCCAGAUAAUUUCUUUCGACUCUUUACUUCCUCUCUUUUUUGUGCCUGGGAUCCUGACCUCGGCACCAGCCUGUUUGGGAGUGACCCGCUAUCCCACCCGCUGCUAGGGAAGGAUUGACAUUUUAAGAUGUGAUGGUAUUGGAUUUUGGUAUUUUUACAGGAUUCCAGCCAAGUGGUGGGAGCUCUAGAGCCCGUCAAGAUUUGCUGCCUGUGUGCCAGGCCCGAUGCAAGGUGCUGGCAACUUUCCUGAUCUGCUGAGCCCCAGGGCCUACCCAGGAGGGCUUCCACCAGGGAGGCUGUGGGUCUAGGCUGGGCUGUAAAGAAGGCCACACCGGAGUGACCACUGCUAACAUGCCAGACCUGAGGAGAUCCUUUAGAUAUGUGCAACCAUCACUACUGUCAAUUUUAGAACAUUUUCAUCACCUCAAAAAGAAAUCUCGAUCCCCCAGCCUUCUAUCUCCUCAAACCCCCAGCCCUAAGCAACCACUAAUCUACUCUCUGUCUCUAUGGAUUUCCCUAUCCUGGAUACUUCAUAUAAAUGGAAUCAUAUCAUCUGUGGUUUUCGUGCCUAGCUUCUUUUAUUAGCAUAAUGUUUCAAAUUUCAUCCAUGUUGUAGCGUGUAUCAGUACUUCAUUUCUUUUUCUGACUGAAGAAUAUUUCAUUGUAUGAUUAGCUCACUUUUUG
rnacentral:lncRNA from 10 species